UUUAUCAAGGUUUACAACACAAUCUCAAAUUCAGCACAAGCUGUUUUUCCUGAGCAACAGUCACUAAAUCAUUUAUAACUGGAGCUACAAAACUCCAAAUCACUUUCCGUUAAUUUUUCCUGAAUAUAGACUCGUAUAUCUUCCAUCCAUAAAAUUUCCAGAAUUUUAGGUUUGGCCAAUCAAUACCAGAUUUUUCUUAAAAUUUCCCCUGUUCCACUGUUUGACUAAUCUGAC
rnacentral:lncRNA from 1 species